rfam:Rubritalea squalenifaciens DSM 18772 genome assembly, contig: EJ93DRAFT_scaffold00004.4
UCUGGUGACCAUAGCAGAGUGGAACCACCCGGUCCCGUUCCGAACCCGGAAGUGAAACGCUUUAGCGCCGAUGGUAGUUGGACGAUAGGUCCUGUGAGAGUAGGUCGUCGCCAGGU